rnacentral:rRNA from 1 species
AGCGGUAAGGCCCUUCGGGGUACACGAGCGGCGAACGGGUGAGUAACACGUGGGUGACCUGCCCUCAGCUCUGGGAUAAGCCUGGGAAACUGGGUCUAAUACCGGAUAUGACCUGGCCUCGCAUGGGGUUGGGUGGAAAGUUUUUCGGCUGGGGAUGGGCCCGCGGCCUAUCAGCUUGUUGGUGGGGUGAUGGCCUACCAAGGCGACGACGGGUAGCCGGCCUGAGAGGGCGACCGGCCACACUGGGACUGAGAUACGGCCCAGACUCCUACGGGAGGCAGCAGUGGGGAAUAUUGCGCAAUGGGCGAAAGCCUGACGCAGCGACGCCGCGUGGGGGAUGACGGCCUUCGGGUUGUAAACCUCUUUCGACCGGGACGAAGGGUGACUGACGGUACCGGUAGAAGAAGCACCGGCCAACUACGUGCCAGCAGCCGCGGUAAUACGUAGGGUGCGAGCGUUGUCCGGAAUUAUUGGGCGUAAAGAGCUCGUAGGCGGUGUGUCGCGUCGGUCGUGAAAACUUGGGGCUUAACCCUGAGCGUGCGGUCGAUACGGGCAUCACUUGAGUUCGGCAGGGGAGACUGGAAUUCCUGGUGUAGCGGUGAAAUGCGCAGAUAUCAGGAGGAACACCGGUGGCGAAGGCGGGUCUCUGGGCCGAUACUGACGCUGAGGAGCGAAAGCGUGGGGAGCGAACAGGAUUAGAU